rnacentral:rRNA from 1 species
ACUCAAAUGAAUUGACGGGGGCCCGCACAAGCAGCGGAGCAUGUGGUUUAAUUCGAUGCAACGCGAAGAACCUUACCAGGUCUUGACAUCGACGUAAUCCGUAGAGAUACGGGUGCCUUCGGGCAACGGAAGACAGGUGGUGCAUGGUUGUCGUCAGCUCGUGUCGUGAGAUGUUGGGUUAAGUCCCGCAACGAGCGCAACCCUUGUCGUCAGUUACUAACGCGUAGAGGCGAGGACUCUGACGAGACUGCCGGGGACAACUCGGAGGAAGGUGGGGACGACGUCAAAUCAUCAUGCCCCUUAUGACCUGGGCUACACACGUGCUACAAUGGUGGUAACAAAGAGGAGCGAGCCCGCAAGGGGGAGCGGAUCUCAGAAAAGCCAUCCCAGUUCGGAUUGUGGGCUGCAACCCGCCCACAUGAAGUUGGAGUUGCUAGUAAUCGCGAAUCAGCAUGUCGCGGUGAAUACGUUCCCGGGCCUUGUACACACCGCCCGU